UACGUAGGUGGCAAGCGUUGUCCGGAUUUAUUGGGUUUAAAGGGUGCGUAGGCGGUUUUGUAAGUCAGUGGUGAAAUACUCCAGCUUAACUGGAGGGGUGCCAAUGAUACUGCAGAACUUGAGUACAGAUGAGGUAGGCGGAAUUGACGGUGUAGCGGUGAAAUGCAUAGAUAUCGUCAAGAACACCGAUAGCGAAGGCAGCUUACUGGGCCGAUACUGACGCUGAGGAGCGAAAGCGUGGGGAGCGAACAGG
rnacentral:rRNA from 1 species